CACGUAGGGUGCGAGCGUUGUCCGGAAUUAUUGGGCGUAAAGAGCUCGUAGGCGGUGUGUCGCGUCGGCCGUGAAAACCUGCAGCUUAACUGUGGGCUUGCGGUCGAUACGGGCAUCACUGGAGUUCGGCAGGGGAGACUGGAAUUCCUGGUGUAGCGGUGAAAUGCGCAGAUAUCAGGAGGAACACCGGUGGCGAAGGCGGGUCUCUGGGCCGAUACUGACGCUGAGGGAGCGAA
rnacentral:rRNA from 1 species